CCUAGAUAUAUAAAGUACCGCAAUUACCGCCAUAUUGGCGCCAAAACUAGCGGCAAAUUUAAAAAGGAGGCCAACAUUUCGCUGUUUCGGCUUUUUAAGCAGCUGGUCGGUCCGGCGCCAAUAUGGCCGACCAACAUUGACAGGCAAGCCGUAAAAUAAAAUAUUUAUUAAUUGUAAUAGAAUUACGUUUAUUAUCUACAGUUUACCUUCAUUUUAACGCCUAUAUAUGUUAAGAGGUUAUAAACGAAUGGUUUCCGUACAAGUGUUUUUCAUUUGUAUUAGCAUUUAUUUUAUGUUACCUUUUAGCGCAAAGUACGCCAACAGAAUACUUAAUUCAGUCGAAACAAUUGGAAAAACUUUGUUUGUUGAUGAGAACGGGAUACCUAUACCAUAAGUAAACUUUCCCUAUUAUACCAGUUAUGCUGUAGUUAGUUUUGACAAAUAAGCAUGAUUUAACGAAAGUCUUUGGAACUAUGAAUAAGCUACAAACUUAAAUUUGAAGGCCGGCUUUUAUACGAGAAAAUUUUGAACCAUGGUUGAAACAAAUAAAUGUAAUAAUUAAAUUGAUAUGAUACAUACCUGCUAUUUUUGAAAUAUAUUAAUAUAUUGAUAGAAAGAUUGUUUCAAUUAGUAUUACUUCAGGUAGUUUCGGCAUUUUAGGUAUGUAAUUGUGCACUUAAUUUAAAAAUAACUUAGAAAGAAGCUUGAAAUGCAUAAGAGCUCUUUAUGUAUGCUGUAUAAUUAAGGUUUGUUAUGGAGUGGUUUUUAUACAACAAAUUUAUUAUUAGUUGAAUAAAAGCAAGUUAAUACCACAUAAUACAAUUAAAAUAUAUUUUACUCUGCAAUUUAAUGU